CGAUCUGUGUGAGCAGAAAAGACAGAAGAUGUCAUGAAAACACAAACGCACAAAAGAAGGCCAGGGUGACGGAAACAUGUCGCCCUGUGAAAUAACAGAUAACUCGUUCCUGUUAGACAAAAACAACCCAGGCGGCAAUGAAAACAGUGAGCAGAGCGAGCUCGACCUCUGACCUGCCACAGCAGAAAAUGUGGAAUGCUUAGUGAGUCAUAGAGGAACCCGGUGGGUGGAUUCAGUUUUGUUUUCUGGCUCUUAGCUGCUGCUUUGGCUGACUGUAGAGCUGGUUCACUGACAGACUGACUGGCUGACCUUGUUGGCAGGAUGGCUAACUGUCUGGAUAGCCGAUGACGCCACAGAAACGGGAUUCAAGUGCAACAAUUGUCCUCACAGUCCUGUUUGUUUGUUUGAAGGGAAAGUAUGCGUAUGAGCGUAUUACGGAUGGAAAAUAUGUGUAUGUUUGUUCCAGACUUUGUUGAGAAGUUGAGUAACAUUGUCAUGACUCUGUUAAAUGUGGAGUAGCCUGUAGUGUUACCUUUGGUUAGCUUAGCUUAGCUUAGCAUAAAGACUGAAAACCCUGUCUGAAGGAGAAAACCUGUGUACUAUAGUGACUUAUUAAUCAGUACAUUAUCCCACAGACUGUAUAAUUGUUUUUCCAGCAAAAGUACCCAAGAUUUUUAGUCCUUGGAGUUUAUAUAUGAGAGAUUAAAAAUGAUCCCUCCAGCGCAGUCUG